UACAGAGACCCCAAGCGUUAUCCGGAAUCAUUGGGCGUAAAGGGUGUGUAGGCGGUUUGGUUAGUCUUCUGUUAAAAUCCCGCGCUCAACGCGGGACCUGCAGGGGAAACGGCCAGACUCGAGGGUGCGAGAGGUGAAUGGAACUCAUGGAGUAGGGGUGAAAUCCGUUGAUAUCAUGGGGAACACCGAAAGCGAAGGCAAUUCACUGGCGCACUUCUGACGCUGAAACACGAAAGCGUGGGUAGCGAACGGG
rnacentral:rRNA from 1 species